rnacentral:tRNA from 1 species
AGCAGCAUGGCUUAGUGGAAAGAGCACAGGCUUGGGAGUCAGAGGACCUGGGUUCUAAUCCUAGCUCUGCCA